CGUAAAUCUACCUGCAAAGUGCAAACAACAAGAACAAGAGAGUGGUGAUCAUGUGAGAGAGGAUAUUCUUCCUCUCCCUCUCUCACCUCUUUCUCUCUCCUUAAAAUGUGCAGAAUUUGCAUUUUGAAAAGGUUUUUUUCUACAUGAAAAACAAUUUAACAAAAGUGAAUUCCCAUCUAUAUAUGCAGUUUUAUCUUCCAAAAACCCUACAGCUUCCCACCAACCUUAAUUUGAUCCUUUCUUCAUGAGAAUUAAUGGUGAGCAAGACCUAAAGGUUGUGUAGCGUUCGAUAUAUAUGAUAAGGAGAAUUAAUUGUAGAAGUGAAGAGAAGAUAAUCUACAAGGGACCCGCAUGGUGGAAAUUAAACAAAAUUGGUCUUUUGUACUCCCCUCCUCUCCGGUGUUGUUUAACACUGUGAGAACUGUGAUGAAGACUUGGGUAGUGACAACCACGACCUUUGUGUGUUGCCUUCGUUCAAUUUUCGAGGAGUUUUAAUUCGUUAAAAUACCAACAAGAACAGAGAGCAAGUGAUGAAGUCAAAACACUGAUCAUGUCAAAGAGGAAAUCUCUCUAUUCUCUAGUGUAUUUAAAGAAAACUAUUCUUUUACUAUGCAUUUUAGAUCAUUAAAUUCUAAUAAGAUUAAUCACCCACCUUCAUGGUUAAUAUUUUAAUUUUACUAUAUCAAAUUCAACUUCAAUUCAAAUGCGAUUGUGUAAGUCAUGUUAACAAUGUUACGACAUGAUAACAUGCUUUUGCA